AGCAUAAAAAACCUGUCUAUCUAAGGGUUUUAAUAUUGUGUUGUUUAAAGAUAGUGUCAUAUGCAUUACCUGCUAAGACACACUUCAGAAAUUUACACCCCGAAAUACUCGCAGAUUUUUCCAAUUAAUUUGUCGCACAGUUGUCAGGGUGGAACUGUAUUCCACUGCCCUCUUGUGGUUAACUUAAGUUUUUCAAAUGUGUGUUCUAGUGUAGUUCCCACAGUUAAAUUGCGAUUUUCUCAUUAUUUUCCUACUCUAGACUCCGUAUUUGUUUACGGACACCAACAAGACUGGAUAACGAUCGGAGCUAACGUGCAAAUGGAGCGUUUCCUUAUAAAGACUAAGGUUGGGGUUUUUAGAUUCUGGUGUUCAUGUUCUGCUUCCUGUGAGCAUUGUCAUACCGUCGUUUUAUCGACCAGUUGUCAGUAAUUAAGAAGCCCCCGUGGUCGCAUUUCAUGAGCAGUUCAUCAUCGGUCAUCCCCAUCAUGGCAGAUCAAUUUGUAUCAUUGCCGUCACCUAAAAAAAAAAAAAAAGGAAGUCUUUAUGAUGUCAUUCAUAUUUCAGCCACUGGGAGGAGCUCUAGGCUGGGCUAUGAAAUGGCACAUACUGCGAUUCACUAAGUACAAGAAAUUACCUCUAUUUUACCGCUUAAUUUUCGAAAUAAAUGUGGAGUUUUUAUAGUUUAAGUUUUCUAAAAAUAAAUUUGGAACCUACAUUGCCCAUGCACCUGAAUGUGAAACUUGGGUUUCCGCUGAUGUGCCGCAUAAGAACGAGGACGAACAGAAGCGCUGCAGGAAAAGAGGUGGUGCGUUUGGAAACCCGGCCUCAUCUCCGGGCGGUAGAUCAAGAUGGCCGCCGUGUGUGGGACCUGCAGCGCUCUGAGCCAGCCAUUGUUUGCACUUGGUCGAACGGGACCCAAGCUGACCAUGUCCAAUCCCAGGCCAAUCCCAGGCCAAUCCCAGGCCAAUCCCAGGCCUGCCAGCACUCUUUCAGGUGAUGGGUGAAACCCUUCUCUCCUGGGUAGAGGAAGUAGACAGCAUCACUGGUCACCCUGGAGGACCCUGUCACAUGACCCUGCAUGCCUGGGAAUUCUCUGCUGAUGUCACUCACUCUUAGUCCAAUGGUGUGAUGAACACAAAACCCACCACAAAAUACAAAAUAACUUCUAGAGAUUGCUUAAGUGGGAAGAUGCUCAAGAAGGCUAAAAAAGAUUUAGUGUUCUUUGAAAUAUGCUGACACAAGCAUCGUCUGGUUGGCCAAGUCAUCCUAUUAUCUGUGGCUGGUGACCCGUGAGUUAUUUAAGGGGUUAGAGGAGGGUAAACGGGGUGGUUAGGGGUGAGAGGGGAGGCAGAAAUGACUCCUGCUACUCUAAGUCCUCUAAUUUGGCCCAUUAAAACCCGUUCCUUGCACAAGAGGCAUUGUGGACAAAACAAUGUAUUGGGGUUCCUCCCUGGCUCAGUGAAAGAGACUAUACAGACGUUGACAAAGACGAGCAAAACCGCGGUCUCCACACAAGUGAACACACACACACACACACACAAACACACACAAACAACACACAGACUGCUCCAUCCAUGGUAACACACACAGCUACUGGGUUCAGGAACAUUCAGUUUUCACAAUUCCGCUCGAGCCAGCGUGAGACUGUCGAUCUGCAGCUCGCCCUCCGUCUGGACGACUGGAGCUCCACGCACUCGUCAACCACGGAGUCUAAUCCGUCUCUGGAUCGACCUUUCCGAAGAGUUUGGCGACAGAUCAACAGAGCGGCCCACUGCCCUAGAACCUGGGGCACCGUGUCGACCAGAUUAAAAGUUGAAACGGUUGGUGCGGGAGCCUUUAUCCGGGCCUGCGAAUUCCUCGGGGUGAAAAGGUGCGAAGGAAGGGUACCCCAAAACGGUCCUGUCUCCGUCUCUACACCUCUACUUACUGACCUGGGUAAAACACGGCGGCUAAAUGAACGUGUGAACAUAGGAACGAAGAGAAAUGCUGGUCAGAGAUAGAAAUUACACAAGGCAAUUAAAAUGGAAAUAAAUGGGAGAAUACGUUAGAGCACAUUAGAGAUUAAACCAAAUGAAUGCCUGUACCGAUGGCAGAAUAUGAUAGUGAGGUAUGUAUGGGCCAAGUCUGCACUGUAGAGACUAUUGAAGGAAUGCAGAAGUGUACGGCAAGAUGAGUGAAGGGGAGAAGUAGAGGUUUCCUCUCCGAACCCCCCCCCCCCCCCUUUUUCAAAGAACAGGGAAGUCAAUCAAAUGGGGCAGAGGUGAGAGCCGCCCUCCUGGGGCUGAAACCCCCAAAAUGACAGUAAGGGGGACGGUCAGUGGAAAGACGAGAGGGGGUGCAGAAUUUGGGUAGAGCCGGAAUGAAGGCCCGACACACACGCGGUAAUCUCCGGGUCAAACUGGGGGUCCCGGGAGAAGCAGCACACACACAUCCUCGGCUGCGUUUACACCCCCCCCCCCCCAAUCCACUUACCCCUUCAGCGUCACGGAGAUCACACGCCCCUCGCCCCUGCGUCCUGCCCCGUCCCGUACAAUACCACUCAUUUCCUCCGUCUUCUGCGGCUGACAGAACAAACCACGCACCCCCCCCCCCCCCCCCCCCCCCUGCCCCCCCACACCCACCUCACCCCAUCCUGUUCUGUUGUCCAUUUACUGUGGUUUCUCUUUUGGGGGGGGGUGAGGGUGGGGGUACCGUGAGACAACUAGAGUGACAGAAUAAACAGCAUCUUAAAAAAUCCUUCCUUUUAAGGUGUUUUUUUGUUCCUUCCCCCUGCAGAACUCUGGUCUCAUUUGGUCGUUUUUUUUCUUUUCGUUCUUUGUUUUCCCCCUGUUGCUGGCUUGGAAAUCGAAGAUUUUUGAAUUCCUUCCAUUGCCUUCGUUCCUCGGUCGCGUCCGACGUGUCCGCUCUGCGCUGAGAUCACAGGCCGGCCCGAACGCAGCCCGGGGGGGAGGGGGGGACGGAUACGUCCCGUUUUUGCGUUUCGCGAAAACGAGCUGGCCCCCCUACGCAGCGUUCUCCUGCCCCCCCGGUUAAGAUUCCGCAAAUACAACUCCUGAAUGGUGUGUCAUUAGUGAGUCUUAGUCAUAAUAUUCAUAUUCACAAUGCGAAGCAUUAUCUAUAUCUCUCUAGUCAACAAAGGAAAUGAAUACCUUAACAACAACAACAACAACAAACAAAAAACAUCUGGAAUUUUUCAUGGAAGUUUGCCGUGCCCUGCAUUGUUCAUAGAGCAGGCCAGUGCAGUGUGCCACGAAGGUGAGGAAGAAUUCAAUUGUCUUAUUUUUGGCUCGUAUGGGUGGAGUUAUCGUGGGUGCGGCCCGUUCUGUCUGAGGCGACCGAGUCAGAGGACAAUGCCAGCGGAGGACCAGCGGGGAACCGGACGGGCACCAUUCCUGCUCUAUGCCUCGGUGCCGAUCGGCGAUCAUGUGAGGUUAGGGCCUUGGCGGCGCCGUCCAAUCAGAGACGAGCGUCACGCACCGCGCGCGGUAUGUUUUCGCGGUAUGACAGAAUUCCCCUCCCCUUCUCGCGGUGCGCGCGGAAUGUAUUUUUGCGCGUUAAACUGCUUUCCGUGGUCAUGGUAACGCAGGCUGCCCUCUCUGCGCGUUUCCGCCCCGGUGUGUCUCUGUUUCAGCGGGGAAUCCGCUCAGGAAAUUGUCUGUUUUAGCGCAGGUGCCCUUGCCCCAAGGUACGGCCCGUCCUGAGAUAUUGUCAUCCUGCUAUGCGACUAUGUGGAGCAAACAGCUACGUGUACACACACACAUAUACAUGCACACGCACACGCACGCAGCCCAUGCACACACACACACACAAUUUGUAAGGUGUUUUCUGUGGUCAAGGGGAUCUGAUAGUGUAGAUUUAUAUAUGAUGUACUGUAUAUAUGAGCCCACUUGGGCUCUACUGUAUGUUAGAGUUCAAUUAAAAUUCCCAGUUUUACUGUGCUCUUUGACUCAUGUAAACUCUGUUGGAGUUCAAUUAACAUUCCCAAAUUUACUGUGCUCUUCGACUCAUGUAAACUAUGUUGGAGUUCAAUUAACAUUCCUAAUUUUACUGUGCUCUUGGAGUUAUGUAAACUAUGUUGGAGUUCAGUUAACACUCACCAUUUUACUGUGCUUAUUUCCUAUGGUCAUUUCAACAUAUACAGCCUUAAAACCCAUUUGACUAUGUAAAUGAAAUGCUGGCGUUUUUUCUUUUUAUCCAGCUGUGAUAGUUCAGUAAGAUAUUCCAGAAAGCUAACCCUGCUGAUUGGCUGUUCCUGGCUCGGGCGGAGGCAUGACGGUCGCUGUCCUUCUCACAGGUGAACGGGAACAUCGGGUACUCGCGUGCCGUUUAAAAUGUUCCUGUGGAGGAAAGGAUGAAUGAGCGAGGGAGAGAAGAAAAAAAAGAGACGGCGAGGAUUCUCUCGUCUGACAGGCGAAGCGGACGCUCGGGCGUUUCCCCCACCUGCUGAAUGACAGCCGUGAUGUCAUCGCAGCGCCGGUGAUGUGUGCGCAGAAACGCUGCCUGUGAACUCGCACCUGCGGCCGACUCCUCGCCCUCCGGGGCUGAUACCGCACGACGGAGCGAGACGCUGGCUCUGAUUGGCUACCGCACCGUAGGCCGUGAUUGGCUACCGCGGAACGCAGUCGUCGGUGCCCCGGGGUGGACAGGCGCAUGGGGUCACUGCCUCCACCCCCCCCGUCUCAGCAACGGGGCGGAAAAUCAGUACGAGUCCACCCUGAUCCCUCCUUAAUCCAGGUAUUGUCACAACAAACAGUGUUAGAUCAGAGAGAAGUGUGUGUGUGUGUGUGCAUGUGUGUGUGUCAGUGUGUUAUGUUAUGUGUGGUAUGAUCCGAGUGUACAUGGAUUGCAGCCAAGCCUGAUUCCCCUCAACUUAGUGUGCUGUAUGUUGACUGGUUGUGAUGACUGCUGAGUGUUUAACAUUUUAAUGUUUCAGUUAUUUUGGUAAGUUUGAGACCUGCGCUUUUCGGCUUGCCUCAAAGCACCGUACCAUUGGUUGAGCCCUUGUGAACUGAACUGAACUGAACUGAACAGCCCCUGAACCAAACUUUGGAAUCCAAGGUUUCCUUGAAGUCAGUUUAAUAUUUUCUGUUGUGAAUUACUGCUUUAAAUGUGUGAUUGAUAAGGAGGGUUUUUUAUUGUUUAUAUGGCUCUGUUUGUCUGUGGUUAUAUGUCCUGAAAAGACCUGAAUCUUGUGAUGUGUUAAAAUUUGAACAGGCCUGUAGGACAUCUCCAAGAAAGAGAAACAUCUGUGGAGGGUGGACUGUGUGUGUGUGUGUGUGUGUGUAUGCGCGUGCGUACUGUGUGUGUGUGUGUGUGUGUGUGCUUGUGGGUAUGUGCGUGUGUGUUAUGAGUGUGUGUGUUUGUGUGUGAUUGUAUUUGCGUGUGUGUGUGCGUGCGUGCGUGCGUGCGUGUGUAUGUGUAUGGGGAUUAUGGAGUUAAACUCAGGUCAGGGUGAAAGGACACUGUACCCUCCUCAUUACGGUGCGCCUGUGGCUCCAGCUGCCCUAACCCUCAGUCCCUGGUGCCAGGACUGGGAGACCCUGUGCCGCAGACACCAAACAUUCACACAGCUCCCUGGAAACUGUCCCAUCCGCGGUUCUUUGGCCGAAGCGGAUCAUGUUUUCCUAAACUGUGGCAACAGAAACUUCUCUGCACAUCUCACUGGUCUGGCUGCAUCUGAGAUUUUCUGGAAGACGUUGCCUUAGAUCAGCGCUCUUUCCCUUUUUUUUCUCUUCUACUCGUUUCGUCUUUUAGUGUGCUCUCUGCUCCUCCCUGUCAGUCCUGUCUUUCACCUGGUCCUCCAAACUCAGACUGUAUGCACUGUGACCACUGUAGUGGUACUUUAAAAAAUUUGGUUCAAUUCAAAAUUAUUCGUAUCGCUUUUGGUACCAAGCCACUGUCACUGAACACAAAGACACUGUACAGUGGAAAUGGGCAAAAAAAAACUUUUUUUGGCAUCCAUUAAAAUGCACUGCAACAGUUUAUAUUGAGCCUCAAACGGACAUUUUACAGCGUUCUCUUGCUAGGUUAGUCUCCACUGGACAUGAGACUACCAUGGCACACACGGCAUGUGCAGAAUAGCUCCACUCAGUUGCAGCUUGCGUUCUGGACUGACAGAGGAGUGAUGAGGAAAGAAUGCAGAAACCACAUCCAUGUUUGACAGGCAGGCAGGCGGGCGGGGAUUUAGUGGAUUUUAUUGGAGCUGAAAGGAAGACUCAUUUCCCCUUGGACAGGCCUAGUGAGGACCUGUGUGUGAAGAUCACCGCUGUGUGUGUUCUUACGGUAACUGCCCUGGCACCCAGUCCACCGUUCCACACUCCUCACCUCCCAUCUGGGGACCAACAAUCAGCUGACCUGCGAGUAAUGUGUGUGUGUGCGUGUGUUUGUGUGUGUGUGUGUGGGUGGGUGGGUGUGUGUGUCUGUGUCUGUGGUGUGUGUGUGUGUGUGCGUAUGUGUCUGUGUCUGUGGUGUGUGUGUGUGUGUGUGUGUGUGCGCGCGCGUGCGCGUAUGUGUCUGUGUCUUUGUGUCUGUGGGGUGUGUGUGUGUGUGCGUAUGUGUCUGUGUCUGUGGUGUGUGUGUAUGUCUCUGUGUAUUUGUGUCUGUGGUAUGUGUGUGUGUGUGUGUGUGUAGUUGUGAGUGUUUGUGU